UAGUUCGAGGGCCCGCGCGGCGCGCUGCGGCCUUCGUAGUGCGCCUGCGCCUUCCUGGAGGGAGGCGGGGCGACGGAUGCGUGGCGGUGCCCUGGACCCGGCGGGCCGGGUCCCCUGCCGAGCGCGAUAGUGUCCGUAUUACAGUGUGACUCUGUACUUGUAGAAGGUGAAUUGGAGUUGGCUGAAUCAUCCAUCAGGAACUCUUGCGCUGCAAAAUGCAAACUAGCUAACUGACUCAGGAAAUUAUUCUUCUCAUGUAUGUGAAAUGUGGAGGUAUCUCAGAAGACCCCCAAAAGUAGAAAGACUGAGGACACAGAAUAACACUUCUUACUGACCCCCUGCUCUGCUCUCCUGACGGUGUCCUCACAAUCUGAAGGAGGCUGGGGAGAAGGGAGAAGGAAAGGGCAUUUCUACAGCCUCAUAGUAAAGAAGAAGGCACAUCUCACCUGUUCCAGAUAUUAAGACAGCCACUCUUGCCUUUUUUGGUUGAACAGAGAAAUGAUUUUUCAGGGUGCCAUUCCCCAAUACUGACCCAUUUAUUUGCAUAGUUUCUAUCAGAUGCCUGACUUUCACACGAGGAGAACCUGCAUUUCAAACACACCCAACAAAUAAGAAUGGAACAACGGUGAAUUAACAGUAAUAAUGGAAAAAAAAGUAUUUUAUGAGAACCUGAGAAUACUUUAUUCUGAAAAUAAGAUAUACAAGGACUAAAACGAAGAACAGGCUUUACCACUUAAUUUUACUCACUCAUAAAAACUUCCUGAUAGAGAACAUGUAUAAAUACAUACUUCCACUAAAAGCCACAGGACGGCACUAUCUCCUGGCCUCAGGAAAGGCAUGUGACCCAAGCGGGGCCAUUCAAGGAUUUGAUACGAGAAGAUGUGGAGGACGAGAGGGCCUCUCUUUCCUAUUGCAACAUGAGCUCAAGGAUGUGGACUCAAGACAUCCUGGCAUUUGGAGAACUGGCCUGAAAAUGAAACCUAUACAAUAAAGGAACGAAAGGCAGACGCAGACAUAAUUGGCAAGCCAGCAUCUCUGUUCACUAAUUUGAGUUAGCCACGCUGCUAACUUCUAGUACUUCUAACAGAGUCCUAAGUAUACACAGCACUUGUCAGGGUGCUCCCUUCACUACUCCCUGAAUUGAGCUGAAUUACAAAGUAGAGUCUGAGACCAGGUCCUGCUCAUAGGAAGAUGACUCUGGGAAGUGAUCCUAGGAAACCAGAGUAAGGAUCUGGGAAGAGUGAUAUGGAGAGCCAAAUACAAGAGUGUGUUAUUAAACUGGUCACCCCAGUGGGCAACUGGGCUUGAUUCCACUGGGACUUUAAAAAAAAAACCCAUGAAGACCCUGUCUCAGAACUGUUCCCUUCUGUCCCUAAAGUGGGUAUUUAUUCACUCUAUUGGUUAAGGCUUGUCCUGUGAGGUGUAGUUGUGCAUACGUGACGACUACACAGAGGUGUCAGAGCCCGAAGGCAGAAAUAAAGAGAAAUGUGGUGUUACGAGCUGGGGUUGUUGUCAUAUUAUAGCUGUGUAAAGGCAGCUGCUAUAGCCAUAGCUAGAAUAAAAGGUGGGCACAGCUGCAGAGGCAGGGCAGAGUUAUAGUUCAGGUUAUAUACCUAAGAGCAACUACACAAGGAGCAAUUACCUUCAGGACAUGCCACCACUUUGCCAAUCACCCAGGCUUCUUCCUUGUGCUGCUUAAUAUCCUUCAGAAUCUGCUCCGUCAGAUCCUUUGAUACCACGAGGGCAGCCCCAACUCCACAGUUAAAUGUUCUCGCCAUCUCUUCUUCAGAGAGGUGUCCUUCCUGCUGUAGCCAUGAAAAGAUCCUGGGGAUCCUCCAGCUUUGGGCAUCUGAAAACAGGCAAGAAUUGUCUGAUUAACCUAUUGUCUCUAUAACGUAUGCACAUAUAUAAAGCUGUGGAGAUUACAAGCAGUACUGCUACUUUAUAUAAGGUAAAACUAUACGUUGCCCUUUCACAAUUUUGGGGGAGGGGGGAUUCACCUGUACCGCAGAUAUCAAGAACAUUUUUGCCGACACACUUGGCCAGUAUUCACUAUUAAGUGAGGUCUUGUACUGCAUCAAGUAACUAGAUUCUUAGGAAUUCCCUAAUAGGGAAUUGUUACCAGCUGAAUUCCAGUAAAAGUUUGAGAAUGUUAAGCUGGGUCUUAGCAAUAACAAAAUGCACUCUAGGUGUGAUGCAAAACUAGGUGGCUUAUGUUACAGACUUAGAGGAAACGUAUCCACUAUUUUAAAAAAGUCAUACAAUUUAUAAAAGGUUAAAAUCAAAAUAUGCCCGACCAUAUUUACUUUAUUUUUUUAAAAGGUUUUAUUUAUUUGAGAAAGAGAGAGGACAUGAUGGUGGUGGUAGUU